GACGAACGCUGGCGGCGUGCCUAAUACAUGCAAGUCGAACGCACUCUCGUUUAGAUUGAAGGAGUUUGCUCCUGAUUGAUAAACAUUUGAGUGAGUGGCGGACGGGUGAGUAACACGUGGGUAACCUGCCCUAAAGUGGGGGAUAACAUUUGGAAACAGAUGCUAAUAUCGCAUAAAACCUAACACCGCAUGGUGUAGGGUUGAAAGAUGGUUUCGGCUAUCACUUUAGGAUGGACCCGCGGUGCAUUAGUUAGUUGGUGAGGUAAAGGCUCACCAAGACCGUGAUGCAUAGCCGACCUGAGAGGGUAAUCGGCCACACUGGGACUGAGACACGGCCCAGACUCCUACGGGAGGCAGCAGUAGGGAAUCUUCCACAAUGGACGAAAGUCUGAUGGAGCAACGCCGCGUGAGUGAAGAAGGUUUUCGGAUCGUAAAACUCUGUUGUUGGAGAAGAAUGUAUCUGAUAGUAACUGAUCAGGUAGUGACGGUAUCCAACCAGAAAGCCACGGCUAACUACGUG
rnacentral:rRNA from 1 species